AUUUGUUUUUAAAGCUUUUUUUCACUUGCCGCGGCCAGUUUAAAGAAUUUUUGUGUGAAAUACAAGUCUGAUCGCGAUAUUGAAGUGUGCAUCUUGGUGUGCAAAAUCGAUUUUCCAAUCAGAUUUACCCCGGAGACGUCCCACGUUGUGCCAAUGGCAAAACUGUUUCGCUGCAAGCUGCAAUGGGUGAGAAUGUUUCGUCGGAUCUGAGCGGCUCACCAUGG